rnacentral:rRNA from 1 species
UACGUAGGGGGCAAGCGUUGUCCGGAUUUAUUGGGCGUAAAGAGCGUGUAGGCGGUUAGGUAGGUCCGUUGUGAAAAUUCGAGGCUCAACCUCGAGACGCCGAUGGAAACCAUCUGACUAGAGUCCGGAAGAGGAGAGUGGAAUUCCGGGUGGAGUGGUGAAAUGCGUAGAGAUCCGGAGGAACACCAGAGGCGAAGGCGGCCUGCUGGGCUGCACCUGACGCUGAGCCGCGAAAGCCAGGGGAGCGAACGGG